GACUCAAUAGCAGCAGCAGGCCAGUGCCGCACGAUUCUGGUGUGUAAAGACGUUGAUAAAGACCGUCACCAUAGACUGUAUAAAAACACAGAAAACGCAAAGCAGCCGCCAGGCUCACUACAAGCAACCAGUGUGUCACAGGCCUGAGACUCAGGAGGAAAAGUGGAUCCGCCCAUCUUAAACACCCUUCCAUCUCUCAGUUUGAUGUACUCCACCACAUCAGCGUUCACCUCGGCGUACACGAACGGGACGUCAUAUUUGAAAGCAUUGAUUAUUGGCUCACCUUCACUCCGAUGCUGAGGUGUUGGGUCGCUCGAUUGCCAACCCUCGUACCCUAGCGUCAGGUCUGGACGUGUCAUCCAGUUCUCCACCCAAACAUGGAAGUUCCUAAUGCAGAACAAGGAAAGCGUCCUUGUAGGUCCACAGAUGUGUCUUUCUCAGAUGGUCAGCACCAGAAGUAAAGAACUGGUCCACAGUCUCAGAUCUGGUCAAUAUCAUCUUGUUUAUGUUCUUUAUUAUU